ACACACAAACACACUUUCCGCACACGGCCCCCUGCAGAAAGGAUUGCGAAAUUCCUAUCAUCUGUGUGUGGUUGAACAGUCGUGGCCAAAAUGUACAUUGAAGCACAUGCUCACCCGUCUGUGACGAUGCUGCAAAGAUAAACAGAGCGCAUAACAUAGCCGUGAGUGCGUGUGAGAGCGUGUGCGUGCAUGUUUGUGUGUGUGUGUGGGUGUGGAUUCUAAUCAAAACAGUCGCGAAACAAUGGACCAAUUGUUACACCGUACAGCCUUGUGAGAAGAGUGAGCAUUGUUGUAUAGCCGGAAGCGAGCACCCGACCUGCUUCGGUGCGGCGCGAUUUGUUUGUUAAAGUCCGGGGCCGUUUUUGUCGCCAACUUCGACGCCGUACAUCAUCGGCAUCGUCGCCAUCGUGCUGUGAUCAUUCGGCGCGAGCGUGUUUUUUCGCACACUGCACCACUGGUGGACGGUUUAGCUCGGUGGCGGUCAAAAGUGUCGCGCAUACCCACCCCGCCCGCAUGUUCUGGAAGGCCGCGGAAGCUCUUGACGAAACGUAACUCCCGUUUGCGUGAAUAGUGUGCGUCCAUUGACGGGUCCGGUUGCCCGUAGAUACGGUUUCUACCUCCCAACCAACCCCUCCCCCAGCGGCUGUCCAACAUCCUUCGAGCCACACACACAAACACAGCCAGGGUCCGCCGGUCGCUAAAUGAGUAGGGCGCUUUUUGUCAUUCCGCAACGCUUGCUAUCAAUCGUCCGAUGUAACCAGGUUUCAUUGAUAACGCGCCAUUCGAGCAAAAUGAGCGAACAGCCGGAGAGUAACAUUGUGAAGGGUGCUGAUAGUUGGUUCAACAAAUACUCGGCGGUAGAAAGUUCUCCCGAGGGCACGUUCAAGGGGGUGAAGGACCGGUUCAAUGGCAUCACGGUGGACUCGAGCAUGGAAACCUGCAGCCCCGACUGUUUUCCAACCGUGCUGAAGCGAUCGCUCGACCAUUGGAUUCAAAGCAAAACCCGUGGCAUAUGGUUCAAAGUCCAUCUGUCCGCCGCCAGCUGGAUACCGGAACUAGUUAAUAAUGGAUUUCAAUUCCACCAUGCCAAAAAUUCGUUUGUGAUGCUGUACCGCUGGCUGCCGACGGACGAGUCGGCCAACAUUCCACCGUACUCGCACACGAUGGUCGGGGUCGGCGCGCUGGUAAUGAACGAGCGCCAGCAGGUGCUGGUGGUGAGCGAAAAUUACGCCCUCAUCGCUGGCUCCUGGAAGCUACCGGGAGGCUAUGUGGAACCAAAUGAGAAUUUCAUCGACGCCGCCAUCCGGGAGGUGGAGGAGGAGACGAACAUCCGGACGCGGUUCGAUUCGGUCGUCUCGAUACGGCACGCGCACGGCGCCGGUUUCGGCUGCUCCGAUCUGUACAUCGUCAUGGCGCUGACGCCGCUGACGGAGGCAAUUUCCAAGUGCAACCGGGAGAUUGCCAAAUGCGAAUGGAUGGAUGUGAACGAGUACCUGAACCACCCGAAGGUACACGAAACGAACCGCAACUUUGUGCGCACGUACCUGGAGUACAAGCGGCUCGGUGUGCGCAUCGACUGUGCCGAGGAGAUGCACCAGGUGCUGAAGAAGCGGUACAACGUGUACUCCGUUACCAAGGUGCCAGAGGUGGGCAGCAGCAGCAGCAGCAGUGAUAGCAGUAACAGUACCGGCACGCCGAAAUUAUAGCGUCCGAACGAGUACGAUGCCGCUGGCGACGGCGUGCCACCUCCAGGAAGGAUUCGAUGACCGACCGCUGGUCGGCGUGCGUGUUUGGCAGCCGAGCUGUGUGAUGUUUUGUGAGGAGAAAUUUCAUUGACAGAUACGUAAAACUAGCAGCUAGGAACUUGAAAAUUAAAUUUACCCUCAAUGUUAAC